rnacentral:SRP_RNA from 1 species
GCUGGGUGCGGUGGCUCACGCCUGUAAUCCCAGCACUUUAGGAGGCCGAGGUGGGUGGAUCACCUGAGGUCAGGAGUUCAAGACCAGCCUGGCCAACAUGGUGAAACCCCAUCUCUA